AAUGAACGCUGGCGGCAGGCCUAACACAUGCAAGUCGAGCGGAGCGGCGGACGGGUGAGUAAUGCCUAGGAAUCUGCCUGGUAGUGGGGGAUAACGUCCGGAAACGGGCGCUACUACCGCAUACUAUCAGGUGGUCCUCGGUCGGAUUAGCUAGUUGGUGGGGUAAGGGCCUACCAAGGCGACGAUCCGUAACUGGUCUGAGAGGAUGAUCAGUCACACUGGAACUGAGACACGGUCCAGACUCCUACGGGAGGCAGCAGUGGGGAAUAUUGCACAAUGGGCGCAAGCCUGAUGCAGCCAUGCCGCGUGUGUGAAGAAGGCCUUCGGGUUGUAAAGCACUUUCAGCGGGGAGGCGUUACCCGCAGAAGAAGCACCGGCUAACUCCGUGCCAGCGGCCGCGGUAAUAC
rnacentral:rRNA from 1 species